GAUGAACGCUGGCGGCGUGCCUAAUACAUGCAAGUCGAGCGGACAGACGAGGAGCUUGCUCCUCUGACGUUAGCGGCGGACGGGUGAGUAACACGUGGAUAACCUACCUAUAAGACUGGGAUAACUUCGGGAAACCGGAGCUAAUACCGGAUAAUAUAUUGAACCGCAUGGUUCAAUAGUGAAAGACGGUUUUGCUGUCACUUAUAGAUGGAUCCGCGCCGCAUUAGCUAGUUGGUAAGGUAACGGCUUACCAAGGCGACGAUGCGUAGCCGACCUGAGAGGGUGAUCGGCCACACUGGAACUGAGACACGGUCCAGACUCCUACGGGAGGCAGCAGUUGGGAAUCUUCCGCAAUGGGCGAAAGCUUGACGGAGCAAAGCCGCGUGAGUGAUGAAGGUCUUCGGAUCGUAAAACUCUGUUAUUAGGGAAGAACAAAUGUGUAAGUAACUAUGCACGUCUUGACGGUACCUAAUCAGAAAGCCACGGCUAACUACGUG
rnacentral:rRNA from 1 species